rnacentral:rRNA from 1 species
UACGUAGGGGGCAAGCGUUGUCCGGAUUUAUUGGGCGUAAAGAGCGUGUAGGCGGCCAGGUAGGUCGGUUGUGAAAACUGGAGGCUCAACCUUCAGACGUCGACCGAAACCAUCUGGCUAGAGUCCGGGAGAGGAGAGUGGAAUUCCUGGUGUAGCGGUGAAAUGCGUAGAUAUCAGGAGGAACACCUGCGGUGUAGACGGCUUUCUGGACCAUUACUGACACUGAGACACGAAAGCGUGGGUAGCAAACAGG